UUUAAGUUAUGAUAUACAUGUAGUGUGUGGCCAGGUUGGCUCAGUGGUAGAGCAGGCGCACAUGAACAGAGGUUUAUGCCUCCACACAGAGGUCGAGGGUUCGACUCUGACAUGUGACAAUUUCCUGCAUGUCUUCCCCCUCUUUCUCGUCUGUCC